GGACCCGACUGCUAUCAGAGUGAGAUUAAGCCAUGCGAGUUAACGUAGCAAUACGUGGCGCACGGCUCAGUAACACGUAGUCAACAUGCCCAGAGGACGUGGAUAACCUCGGGAAACUGAGUUUAAACCGCGAUAAGUGAGGAUUUUUGGAAUGGUUCCUGACUAAAAUCUAUAUGGCCUCUGGAUUGGACUGCGGCCGAUCAGGCUGUUGGUGAGGUAAUGGCCCACCCAACCUGUAACCGGUACGGGCUUUGAGAGGAGGAGCCCGGAGAUGGGCACUGAGACAAGGGCCCCGGCCCUUUGGGGCGCAGCCGGCGGGAAACCUCUGCAAUAGGGGAAAGCCUGACAGGGUUACUUUGAGUGACUUUCGCUUAGAAAGUUUUUUGGCACCCCUUAAAAAGGGGCAGAAUAAGGGGUGGGCAAGUUUGGUGU
rnacentral:rRNA from 1 species